AACGAAGUAGCAAUACUUAGUGGCAGACGGGUGAGUAACAUGUGGGUAUCUUCCCUUUGGUGAGGAAUAACACGAGGAAACUUGUGCUAAUACCUCAUAAGUCUUUACGGAGAAAGCUUUAUGCGCCAUUGGAUGAGCCCGCACUUGAUUAGUUUGUUGGUAGGGUAAUGGCCUACCAAGACAUAGAUCAAUAGCUGAUUUGAGAGGAUGAUCAGCCACAUUGGGACUGAGACACGGCCCAAACUCCUACGGGAGGCAGCAGUAAGGAAUCUUGCACAAUGGAGGAAACUCUGAUGCAGCGAUGCCGCGUGAGUGAAGAAGGCCCUUGGGUUGUAAAGCUCUUUCGUCGGGGAAGAAAAUGACUGUACCCGAAUAAGAAGGUCCGGCUAACUUCGUGCCAGCAGCCGCGGUAAUACGAAGGGACCUAGCGUAGUUCGGAAUUACUGGGCUUAAAGAGUUCGUAGGUGGUUAAAAAUAGUUGGUGGUGAAAUCCCAGAGCUUAACUCUGGAACUGCCAUCAAAACUUUUUAG
rnacentral:rRNA from 1 species